rnacentral:rRNA from 1 species
AUGGCUACCUCCAGACUCCACAUCGCCUGCGCUCUCCUCCUCGCUGGUGUUGUGCUUCUGGGGCAAAAUCAAGAGGGCAUGGAAGCCGUGGCUUGCCCUCAGUACUGCCUGGAGGUCGACUACAUAACCUGCCCGUCCUCCGGCUCACAGAAGCUCCCGGCGAGGUGCAACUGCUGCAUGGCUCCCAAAGGCUGCACGCUUCAUCUCUCCGACGGGAUCAACCAAACUUGCUCUUAA